UACAGAGGUGGCAAGCGUUGUUCGGAAUUACUGGGCGUAAAGGGCGAGUAGGUGGCCAUCUAAGUCAGACGUGAAAUCCCCCGGCUUAACCUGGGAACUGCGUCUGAUACUGGACGGCUUGAGUAUGGGAGAGGAACGUAGAAUUCCAGGUGUAGCGGUGAAAUGCGUAGAUAUCUGGAGAAUACCGGUGGCGAAGGCGGCGUUCUGGACCAUUACUGACACUGAAUCGCGAAAGCAGGGGAGCAAACGGGG
rnacentral:rRNA from 1 species